GUCAGCAUAAUUAGCUGAACAGCCAUUGGUAGGUUCAGUUGUACCUUCUGUAACAUUUAAAGAUGAUGGUUUGACCGGUGCUUGGUGAGAUGUUCAAAACAAAAAUGUUUUCAUAACCUGCGGCCGUAAUUUAAAUGGGCAGCAUUAUGUAUUUUCCUCACACACUGUACAAUUUUAUAACACAAACAACCAACUGUUACCUUCAGUUAUUAUAAAAAUGCUAUAAAUAGAAAAUUUGCGCUAAAAGAAAUUCGAUUUUGUUAUUUAAUGCCUGGAAAUUGGACCUCUGUCUCUUUAAGAAACUCUUGCACUUUCCGAAACUCCGCCUUCAGAAAGUCAUGACUGCGUCGCUCCUCUAUUAACCCUUUAGCCACACUUUCACCAGCGUUUCACUGAGGAGUAGUUUGCGUAAAGAGCUCAGCGGGUUCCAGGAGGCGUUUGCUAAAUGGCUGCUCUGUGAGGUGGGAGCUUGGAAAUCUCAGCUCAGAGGAGAAGAGAUGAAAGGAUUUCCCAAACACGCAUAAAAGAAUCACAGCGACACUCCAGUGCGCGUCUCUUGGGAGCAAAGUUGUGCAUCAGGAUGGGAUGUGUAAAGUGUAUAUCAAAGCAUCUGCUCAUCCCUUGGGGAAUAGAUUUCAAUGUUCUGAGUGUGAAGUUAGUAGUCUGAUCAUUUUUAAUCAGAUUAAUCAGAAAGUUGGUCAUACCUCCAGUCUCACUUUCAGUUUCAAUAAUCUGGCAUCUUUAUUUCUGUGCAUAGGGCAGAACAUUGACUAAGAUCAAGUAAUGUUAUUAUUUGUGUUAUUAUUGCUGCCAUAUUCAAUAAAUUGUCCUUUGAAAAUCGACAACCUUUAAUUAGAUAUUAAGCAUACUUUUCAUGAAGGCUGCAUUUCUGUAUUUUUUUUUUUUUUUGGUGUGAUGUAAUAUUCUAUUUUUAAAUGUCAUGUUUUUAUUAUCUAUCAGAGGAAAAAUCUGACAGAUAAUCAUUCAAAGAAAUAAAGUCCUUCAAACAUC